AGUUAUGGGAGAAGACAAGUAUGGUCGUGUCUGCACUUAUGGGUUAGGACCAUCUCCAUCUGAUUUGUGGGGUGCAACAUCCAACCAACAAAGGAUGACUUCCAUUGAUCAGAGGAGAGAUGAAAGAUAUGAGGAACUACAUGCUGAUAUAGUCUCUCUUAAAGAAAAUAUAGCUGUACUCUCAUCCUUAAGAGAAGUUGAAAUGUCAUCCCUUAAAGAAACUAUGGUUGAAAUCUCAUCCGCAAGAGAUGCUGAAAUUUCUUCCUUGAAAGAAACUCUGAUGAAAUUGAUAGCCACUAUGAAUAAUGCAAACAAUAACCCACCCACAGUAUUCGGUGCUGCAGCUAGUUCUAACAUGAACCAACCAUCCUCAUCAUCAAGCCAUUGGGUGAACUCUCAAAAACACUCAACGAAUAAGGGGAAGACCACGAGUUGCACUAGCGCUGGGGAUGUGACUAGAGUUCUUCUUACAAGUAUUGUCAAACUCGGGGUUACUAUUGCUAAAGGAAUUGUUUUGAGCAAGGAUCCGCUCACAAAAGUAGGGGGCACGAACUUGGAAUUGGUUUUUGGGAAGUAUUAAUUCAUGUGGCAAUAGUACGGGAGGAGGUUUUGAUAAGACCCUAUGGACGAUAUAAAACAAUUGGGGAUGCUAUUGGAACGAGUUUAAGGAGAGUUGGAUUGAGCUAAAUGAAAGGAUCUCUCUCUCUCUCUCUCUCUUGUAAAUGUUUUAUGUUUUGUGCAUGGGUUUAGGACUGAUGUGUGAUUGGUUUUGGAUAGAAAGUGUUUAACUCCCAUUUUGAAAUUUGGAUUGACUUAAGAUCCAAUGCAUAUGACAGGUUGGGUAACUAAAUCAACAAGUUAGCCAACAUGAUUUACUCUUGUUCUUAUCAAUUUUCUUUAUAACUCAAUGCAACUCUUGUUCUUUCCAUGUUUCUUUACAACAUUAAUAGGAUGGCGUUGACCUUUUUUAGCGUGUUUUUUGUGGCAGUGUUAGAUGAUGAAAGCCAAGCGAAGGAGAACAACUA